rnacentral:misc_RNA from 1 species
CGAAACAAAUGCUUUAAUUCAAAGAAACUUAAUAGUUCAAACAUAAAGACUCAAUGAUGGCCAACAUUGCACACCACAAUUAUUCCACACUUCAGAAAUGUAAAGACUCGAGCAAGACAAGCAUAGACUACUAGUAAAGAUACCAGUAGAUUGUCUUGCUGCUUCAUAAAGACAACAGAAAAAAAACAGACAGACUAAAAUACCAGACUCUCAAUUCCUGCCUUCUCAUCCUUCCCGGCCUUCUCCUCCAUCACAUCUUCCUUGUCCCAUGGAUGCUGCAGGGUGGACCUCGGAGAUUCUGCCCCCACGGGAGAGGCAGCAAAGCUCUGAUACAUUAGAAUCCCCCCUCCAGGGAGCUCUUGCUCCACAAGUGUCUCACAGUCAUAGAGACCCACUCCAACGUUCUGUCCCCAAGUGCAUGCUUGCUCACGCUCACCAAAGAUGGUCACUGCAACAGAGAACUCUUUCGGACCAAAGCAAGAGAGAACCCUCUCAACCAAGUCACCAAACAGUAUAGCACUAGAAUCAAAACCCAUCGCCUCGUAGCUUGCAUAGCUGAACCCAUCCUUUGGGUACUCUAUGAAUGGGAUUCAUGGUUCGGCUCUAUCAACUAUUCAUGUGACCCCAGAGGAUGGG